rnacentral:rRNA from 1 species
UACGUAGGUGGCAAGCGUUGUCCGGAUUUACUGGGCGUAAAGAGCGCGCAGGCGGUCGGAUAAGUCGAAUGUGAAAGCCCCCCGGCUCAACUGGGGAGGGUCAUUCGAUACUGCUCGACUCGAAGGCAGGAGAGGGAAGUGGAAUUCCCGGUGUAGUGGUGAAAUGCGUAGAUAUCGGGAGGAACACCAGUGGCGAAGGCGACUUCCUGGCCUGUUCUUGACGCUGAGGCGCGAAAGCUAGGGGAGCAAACGGG